ACUCGGGUUCGUGGUCGCUCGCGCGGCCCCGGGGCGGCGGCGCCAUCGUCCAUCGUUGACUUUGGUCGUCCGUUCGCAUUCCCGGCCCUUUCCGCCGGUGUCGAUCGCUGCAUGACGGCCUCGGGUGGCAGCUUGGCUACGGGGAGCGUGGCGUCCGCGCGUCGUUUCGGCGGCGCGUGUCUCNUCCGGGCGGSGGGGGAGCGGACCGACUCUCGCGGGUCUUCUCUUCGUCUCUCUCUCUACCCCUCCUCCGCCUCGCCACGCGCNCGUGCUUGCCGUCGGCGAUCUCUCCUCCAAGGGUGCUCUUAACCGAGUGUCCGCGGCGGCCGGUACGUUCACUUUGAAAAAAUUAGAGUGCUCAGAGCGGGCUGUUCAAGCUUGCAUACGAUAAGCAUGGAAUGAUGGAAGAGGGCCUCGUNUACGUCUGUCGGUCUCCGUCUACGGCGAGGCAAUGAUCGAAGGGAGCGGUCGGGGCCACUCGUAUUGCGACGUUAGAGGUGAAAUUCUUGGAUCGUCGCAAGACGAACUGCAGCGAUGGCGUGUGGCAAGCACGUUUUCCUCGAUCAAGAGCGAAAGUCGGAGGUUCGAAGACGAUCAGAUACCGUCGUAGUUCCGACCGUAAACGAUGCCGACCGGCGAUCCGCCGGCGUUCGCUUCCAUGACCCGGCGGGUAGCCUGCGGGAAACCAGAGUUCGGUUCCGGGGNGAGUAUGGUUGCAAAGCUGAAACUUANNGGAAUUGACGGAAGGGCACCACCAGGAGUGGAGCCUGCGGCUUANUUUGACUCAACACGGGAAAACUCACCCGGUCCGGACACCGGUAGGAUUGACAGAUCGAUAGCUCUUUCUCGAUUCGGUGGGUGGUGGUGCAUGGCCGUUCUUAGUUGGUGGAGCGAUCCGUCUGGUUGAUUCCGAUAACGAACGAGACUCCGGCCUGCUAACUAGUGCGCCGAUGUGAGUGCGGCGUCCUCCGCGGCGUCGCGUGCGGGCUCUCCGCGGGUGUGUCGCGUCGUGGUCUCUCGCGGGUCGUUGCGGUCGUCCUCCCACCCUUUAACCGGGGUGGNGGCGUUCGUGCGNUCGCGGCGGGGUCUCGCGCGUGGUGCGCUCUCGGGUCCGGGUCGGUUUCUCACGCACUUCUUAGAGGGACGGGUGGCAGAAAGCCACACGAGGCGGAGCGAUAACAGGUCUGUGAUGCCCUUAGAUGUCCGGGGCCGCACGCGCGCUACACUGGAGGUAUCAGCGGGGACUUCGCCCCGGCCCGAGAGGGUCGGGAAACCUCUCAACCACCUCCCGUGAUAGGGAUCGGGGCCUGUAACUAACCCCGUGAACGAGGAAUUCCCGGUAGGCGCGGGUCAACAGCCCGCGUCGAUCACGUCCCUGCCCUUUGUACACACCGCCCGUCGCUACUACCGAUCGAACGGUCCGGUGAGGUCCUCGGAUCUGGCCGACGACGCCGCCGGGUGUCGGCUGNGCUCUCCUUCGCGGGGGNGCCUGUCGUUUGCCUCGGCGUUCGAUGCCUGGAGAAGACGACCGAACCCGAUCGNUUAGAGGAA
rnacentral:rRNA from 1 species